rnacentral:misc_RNA from 1 species
AAUUAUUGGAUACCUCAUUUGUAUCUGAUUGCAUAAGGAUGAAGAAAGUAUCAUCAGCACCAUCAUAUGAACCAGAAAGUGCAGAAGAUACCAAUGGAGAACCAAAGAAAUUUGAGUUGGGAAUUGAGCAUUGGUCUAUAACAAUAAAGAAUCACAUACCUCUGAUAAUGUGGCAUUCUUCUGCCAUGGUGAGAACUGCAUCUCUGACUUGUUUCGCGGGCAUUACUUCUUCUGUAUUCAUCUCUCUCUCAAAGGAGAAACAGGAGUUUGUUGUUUCUUCUUUGAUCAAUGCUGCUGUAGAUGAUGAGGUUCCUUCAGUUAGGUCAGCUGCUUGUCGAGCUAUUGGUGUCAUCUCUUGUUUUCCACAAAUAUCUCACAGCGCAGAGAUUCUUGCCAAGUUUAUCCACGCG